rnacentral:rRNA from 1 species
AACACAAAACACACCUACAGAGUGCACGCAUAAGUGCAAGCAAAGCAGGGUUGAGCCUGGUCAGUACCUGGAUGGGAGACCUCCUGGGAAAACUAGGUUGCUA